CCGGGAUGCAGCGCCUGAGAAAUGCGUUCCGGGAACGAACGUUCCUGCUCAUUCGCAUACUCCAUCUGCUCGCAAGUCUUGAGAGGGACUGGCAGAGAGUGGCCUUUAGGUGCCUGACAUCUGUUACCAGAUCUCUGGAUCCAUUGUCCUGAUGGAACAAGUACUUGAGAUCAAAGAGAGGAAGAGGCAGAGAAUCAACGUGAAUCAAAAUGUCUAACAUUGGGAUUUACACCACAGACCCUAGGACUUCUAUGCUUAAAUGUCUACACCCAAAGCAUAGUCCUAAACAUGGCCAGAAUGGAGACAGAUUCUGUGACCCCUGGGCCUUGGAAAUCAUCAAGAGUCUGGAUUUGGGUUUGGAGUGCUCAGUUGUUAGCAUAACCCCCAGGAUUAUGCCUAAACAAGACAUGUUAAUCACAGUAUUUAGAAUGUGGAAGCAAAAGGAUUAGAAAUUCAGGGUUAUCUGACUACAUAGAGAGUUUGAGGUCAGCUUGGGAUACAUAAGAUUGUCUCAAAAACAAACAAACAAACAAACAAAACCACAAAACCAUCAAGAGAAGAGAUAGAGUGGCUGGAGAGAUGGCUCAGUGGUAUUCCCCUCCCAGGGGGUCUGAAUUUGAUUCUAAGCACUUAUACCAAGCAAUUCACAAAUGCCUGUAACUCAAGCUCCAUGGGCGAUCCGGCUUCUGUGGUCUCUCUGUCUCUGUCUCUGUCUCUGUCUCUGUCUCUGUCUCUCUCUCUCUCUCUCUCUCUCUCUCUCUCUCACACACACACACACACACACACACAAAUAACAAGAGGCCCACAGGGUCCAGUCCCAUCCAGCCCCUGAGCUUCUGAUUGACAUUUCAGUGACCACAGCAUGGGUUGUCUGGAAUGACCAGAUAUUUGAGGUUAUCCAGAUAGUCACUAACAGAAGAGAUGUGGACUAACCAGCCAGGAAAAACAAAUGCAGAAAGCAGGCAUAUCCAUGUGAGGAAAACUCCAGCACGACCCCCAUUACUGUCCUCAGCUGAGUUACAGAUGUCCUGAAGGACCAAGAUGCUCUAGCAGAGAGUUCCCCAAAGGCCUGAGGACUAGGAAGAGUGGUGGCUAAGCAGGAUCCUCCACAGAAGGGCUGGAAACAAGGGGGAGGGGUGUGUCUGGACAAACAGCCGAGGUGGAAAUCGAGGGGGAAGAGAUUGGCUGGGUCUGCUGGGAAGUCUGGUGGGCAGGAUUUGAGGUUUCGGGAAGGGAAAGUGGAAAAGACAGAACAAGGGAAUUCAUAGGAGGAAUUCAAAAGAGCCAGCAGAGACAAGGCCAUAAGGGCCUGGCACAGAGAAUCAGGUGGACACAUGAACUUUGCAAGUGCAAGGGUGGAGUGUAGCAGUUGCCUCUCAGAGGGAGGCUGUGUGCUCAGUCCACCAGAGCACUUCCUGCUGCGGGAAAGUGUGAACUGCCAUUACUCUGGCCUUCUUCAUCACUGGCUCCCCAUCGUGGUCCAGGACAGGUGCCUGUCAACAGAUGUGAGAUAAAUGGUAGUAGCCAGACAGCAGCACCUGCAGCCUUGGGCAGGAAGCCAGCUCCCACCUUCCCUCGAGGAGAUGGCUGAGCCAUCCCACGUGACAGUUUCAAGUCAAGAUGCAGCCUCUUUUUCCACCUUGGGUUCAGGUGGUUGAGAUGACUCUGCACUUUCUAUGCCACAUCUCACAACCAGACACCAGACCUUUCCCUGCCCCCAUCAGAUGCCCGCAUACUCCAGACACCUGCACACCUGCCCUUUCCAGGAAAAAAAAAUCUCCUCACUGCAGCAUCCUGGAAGGGGACUCAGCCCCUCCCCCAAGUCCUUUGCACCUCCAGCUUAAUGAGCAGAAGCUGCUGGGGGCGCCUGGGUCACACCUUCUCACUUGACUGAAGCAUAGCCCAGAUCUGGCUGGCAGGGAGUUUGCUCACGAGGGGAACUUCCGCAAGCUGUGAACGCAUUACCUUCUGCAAGCGGCCUGUUCUGUAGGCGCCUGCACUGGUGUCCUGGUGAGACCCAGCCCUGGGAGUACUGAUGCCACCUUGUACCUGGUGACUGAGAGAAGAGAUCGUGACAGUCUCUGACCUGUUUUCUGUGUCCAGGCUGGUCCAGCCUACAUGGAACAGGGCUGACCCAAAUUUAUGGCUAGACACUGAGAGGUCAUGUACAUUCCCAGGGAGGAUAUGGAAGGUGCCCUAGCCUGUUUGUUGUUUCCUUGAUUGAUCCUGUAUCUAGAGAAACCAACUUCCACGGAGGGAAGACUCAGGAACAGCCUGUGGAGAGUCUGCCUGAAGAAAACAGAGGCUUCUGUUCACAGUCCCAUCAAGUGUGUACUGGCCAGCAAAUCCCACAGUACCCAUGGAGGCUGAAGACCAUGUACAACUUGUGGGAGCAGGUCACAGAAGCUCAAAUCCCCAAGAAGUGCCUGGCCAGACAAGCCUGGUUGAGUAUCCACCACCUGGCCACAGACAUUAGCCUUUGCCCCUCACCCCCUCUGCCCAGUCACGUCCCCACAUGUGCCCAUGCACCGUCAUGCUCAGACUGUGAUGUCUACACAAGAGGCCAAGAGGAGAGGAGACGGAGCCUGUGGGCAACUGAGCACCCUAGAGGUUGGCAUAACCAAACGGUUCAGUCAGAAGUUCCUGCAUCGGGGCACUGCCAGCCCUUUCCCCAUUUCCCCUGUCUGUCUGGCCUCCCUUUUAAAUAAACUAGUAGACAUUUCCUUGA